UGAUCAUGGCUCAGAUUGAACGCUGGCGGCAGGCCUAACACAUGCAAGUCGAGCGGUAACAGAAAGUAGCUUGCUACUUUGCUGACGAGCGGCGGACGGGUGAGUAAUGCUUGGGAACAUGCCUUGAGGUGGGGGACAACAGUUGGAAACGACUGCUAAUACCGCAUAACGUCUACGGACCAAAGGGGGCUUCGGCUCUCGCCUUUAGAUUGGCCCAAGUGGGAUUAGCUAGUUGGUGAGGUAAUGGCUCACCAAGGCAACGAUCCCUAGCUGGUUUGAGAGGAUGAUCAGCCACACUGGAACUGAGACACGGUCCAGACUCCUACGGGAGGCAGCAGUGGGGAAUAUUGCACAAUGGGCGCAAGCCUGAUGCAGCCAUGCCGCGUGUGUGAAGAAGGCCUUCGGGUUGUAAAGCACUUUCAGUCAGGAGGAAAGGUUAGUAGUUAAUACCUACUAGCUGUGACGUUACUGACAGAAGAAGCACCGGCUAACUCCGUGC
rnacentral:rRNA from 1 species